GUGGUUGUAGCUCAGUCGGUUAGAGCGCCUGUCUGUGGAACAGGAGGUCGGGGGUUCAAGUCCCCUCAGCCACC
rnacentral:tRNA from 1 species